rnacentral:lncRNA from 1 species
UCAGCUCCUAACGCCGCAGGUUCCUCCUGGUCCCCGAGGCCCCCGGUCGGGCGUUGCCUGCCCCGCGCGGGCGGCCGGGCCGAGGGACGAUGGUCAGUGGACGGACGGCGCCAGGGAGCAGUGCCCACGCGCGGCAGGGCGGUACCUUCAGGCCUCCAGGAGGCUGGGGCUGGCUCUGUUGGCCUCUGUGCUGGGUUUCUUCCUCUGCACCGCAGGACUGGCUCUCCUGACCUCUCCAGGUGUCAUCGAACACCCUUGUGCUUGCUGUCACCCGCUGCCUGUCUGCAGGAUCCCGGAUUCCGUAUCAGGGGACCGAAAUUAGUCGGAAAAUAGGAAGCAGGUGCUCGCUUGGAUGGAACCCUGACCCUGUGCUCACACUUGUAGGAGGAGGGCUCUGCAGGCCGCCUCCCGGAACGGGAGGUUCCCAAGCCACUGCACUUCGGAGGGGCUGUAAUUAGAGUUGCACAUUCAUUCAGUUCCCAGUAAAGUAGAACGUGCUCCAGCCAGUGAGGAAAAGGUGUUUUUAAAAAUUAGAUUGGCCGAGUGCGGUGGCUCAUGCCUUUUACCUCAACACUUUGGGAGACAAAGGUGGGAGGAUCACCUGUGGCCAGGAGUUCAAGACCAGCCUGGGCAACAGAGCCUGUCUCUGGGGAAGAAUAAAAAAAAAAAUUGAGCCUUUGUCAGUGCUACUAUUUUAUUAUCUGGUAAAUAUGAGAGGGUUCACGCGGUCUAUGUGUGUCAUUUAUCUGAGUUUGCCUAUCGUCACGUUUUGGAAAUAAAUGUCAAUAAAGUCGA